UUAGUUACGGCGAUUGAUCUUAGGCGGCCGGCGAGUUCGCCCUUGGAAUUCAGACUUUGAUUAAUGGCUCAGAAUGAACGCUAGCUUACAGGCUUAACACAUGCAAGUCGAGGGGGCAGCAUCAUCAAAGCUUGCUUUGAUGGAUGGCGACCGGCGCACGGGUGAGUAACACGUAUCCAACCUGCCGACAACACUGGGAUAGCCUUUCGAAAGAAAGAUUAAUACCGGAUGGCAUAGUUUUCCCGCAUGGGAUGACUAUUAAAGAAUUUCGGUUGUCGAUGGGGAUGCGUUCCAUUAGGCAGUUGGCGGGGUAACGGCCCACCAAACCUACGAUGGAUAGGGGUUCUGAGAGGAAGGUCCCCCACAUUGGAACUGAGACACGGUCCAAACUCCUACGGGAGGCAGCAGUGAGGAAUAUUGGUCAAUGGACGAGAGUCUGAACCAGCCAAGUAGCGUGAAGGAUGACUGCCCUAUGGGUUGUAAACUUCUUUUAUACGGGAAUAAAGUGAGCCACGUGUGGCUUUUUGUAUGUACCGUAUGAAUAAGGAUCGGCUAACUCCGUGCCAGCAGCCGCGGUAAUACGGAGGAUCCGAGCGUUAUCCGGAUUUAUUGGGUUUAAAGGGAGCGUAGGCGGGUUGUUAAGUCAGUUGUGAAAGUUUGCGGCUCAACCGUAAAAUUGCAGUUGAUACUGGCGACCUUGAGUGCAACAGAGGUAGGCGGAAUUCGUGGUGUAGCGGUGAAAUGCUUAGAUAUCACGAAGAACUCCGAUUGCGAAGGCAGCUUACUGGAUUGUAACUGACGCUGAUGCUCGAAAGUGUGGGUAUCAAACAGGAUUAGAUACCCUGGUAGUCCACACAGUAAACGAUGAAUACUCGCUGUUGGCGAUAUACGGUUAGCGG
rnacentral:rRNA from 1 species